ACAUGAAAAUGAAAGAACUGGUUUGGAAGUCAGGAGAUCUAUGAUUGUGUACCGCCUCUGCUACUCACUCACCAUGGAAGCUUGAAAAAAUUCCAAACACUGCAAAAUUCUAAGAUGACCUGCAAGAUUUCUACCCCUGGUGCACAGACCCUGUAUGAUCCUCUCCCCUGGAGUGUGGAUGGAAGCUGAGAAUAUGAUGGCCAUCCCUCCUGAAACUUGACGACGAAUCAUUGACUCUGUGUUCAUCAAAGGAGAGAUUAUCCUGGGGGACCUGACCUAAUCAGUUGAGUCCUUUCAAGGUGGAAAAGUCAGAGAGGACUGCUCCUCCUGACCUUGAAGAAGACAAAAGUGGCCAGCUCUACAGCUGCAAGGAUUUGAAUUCUGCCAAUCACCUGAAUGAGCUUGGAGAAUCGCUCUGGGCAUCCGAUGAGAUGGCAGCUCUGACUGACACCUUGAUUUCAGCCUUCUGAGAUCUGAGCAGAGACCUGGACACCUGAUCCACAGAAACGGAAAUAUUACAUUUGUGUUGUCUUAAGCAGGUGAAUUGGUGUUAACUUGCGGCACAACAAUUGAAAACUAUCACUAUUGUUCUGCUACAUUUCUGACACAUGUGUUAAAGCAAUAGUUUUCCAGGAAUACAAAACAAAGGGAGACCCCCAGGGAACCAGG
rnacentral:lncRNA from 1 species